GGAGAGGUUGUCACUCAGUGGUAGAGCAUUGGCUUGGCACACAGAAGGUCCCAGUUUCAAUCCCUGGCAUCUCCA
rnacentral:tRNA from 1 species